rnacentral:rRNA from 1 species
AGCGAACGCUGGCGGCAGGCCUAACACAUGCAAGUCGAACGGAUCCUUGGGAUUAGUGGCGGACGGGUGAGUAACACGUGGGAACGUGCCCUUUGGUUCGGAGCAACUCAGGGAAACUUGAGCUAAUACCGGAUGUGCCCUUCGGGGGAAAGAUUUAUCGCCAUUGGAGCGGCCCGCGUCUGAUUAGCUAGUUGGUGAGGUAAAGGCUCACCAAGGCGACGAUCAGUAGCUGGUCUGAGAGGAUGAUCAGCCACAUUGGGACUGAGACACGGCCCAAACUCCUACAGGCGGCAGCAGUGGGGAAUCUUGCGCAAUGGGCGAAAGCCUGACGCAGCCAUGCCGCGUGAGUGAUGAAGGUCUUAGGAUUGUAAAAUUCUUUCACCGGGGACGAUAAUGACGGUACCCGGAGAAGAAGCCCCGGCUAACUUCGUGCCAGCAGCCGCCGUAA